rnacentral:rRNA from 1 species
UACGUAGGGUGCAAGCGUUGUUCGGAUAUACUGGGCGUAAAGCGCACGUAGGCGGCGUCGUAAGUCAGGGGUGAAAUCCCGGAGCUCAACUCCGGAACUGCCCUUGAAACUGCAAUGCUAGAAUCUUGGAGAGGCGAGUGGAAUUCCGAGUGUAGAGGUGAAAUUCGUAGAUAUUCGGAAGAACAUCGGUGGCGAAGGCGGCCAGCUGGGCCGUUGCUGACGCUGAGGCGCGACAGCGUGGGGAGCAAACAGG